AUGGGCGAUGUCCGGAUCGUGUCCCGGCGCAUGGUCCGCCCGGAGCCAAGCAACCGCCGGCCGCCGGAGCAUCAGCCGGAGACCAUCCACCUGACGCCGUGGGAUCUUCGGAUGCUGGCCGUGGACUACAUCCAGAAGGGCGUGCUCCUGCCCAAGCCCCUCGCCGCCACCACCCAAGGACAGGGACGCAACGUCCCCGUCGUGGACCGCCUCUCGUCGUCCUUUGCGAGCGCCCUGGGCCGCUUCUACCACCUCGCCGGCCGCCUCGCCGUCAACGACGACGGGGCCGGAGCCGGCCAAACCAUCUCGCUCCGGUGCAGCGACGAGGGCGCCGAGUUCGUGCACGCCGUGGCGCCGGGUGUCACCGUCGCGGACAUCACCGCCCCGCUAUGCAUCCCGCGGGUGGUCUGGUCCUUCUUCCCGCUCAACGGGGUGCUCGUCGCGGAGGCCGCCACGGGCUCCCGCCCGGUGCUGGCCGCGCAGGUCACCGACCUCGACGACGGCGUCUUCGUUGCCAUGUCGCUCAACCACGGGGUGGCCGACGGGACCACCUUCUGGCAUCUGUUCAACACUUGGUCGGAGAUCAACCGGCGCAGUGUCGACGGCGGCUACGACUGCGAGAUCUCCUCGCCGUUGCCGGUGUUCGAGAGGUGGUUCCCGAACGGCUGCGCCGUCCCCAUCCCUGUACCCUUGGGCAAGCUGGACGACAUCGUGGGGCAGCGUCGACGUGCAUAUGGCCAGCGCCCGCCGGUGCUGGAAUGCUUCGUGCGUUUCUCCGGGGAGAGCGUGAAAAAUCUCGUGUCGAAGGCGAACGCCGAGAUGUCAGGAUCUGGCACCACCAUCUCCUCGCUGCAGGCCAUGCUCGCUCACCUGUGGCGCGCGGUGUGCCGCGCCAGGAGGCUGGCGCCAGAGCAGGACACGCGGUACGUCCUCCUCGUCGGAUGCCGGGGCCGCGUGGACGGCGUGCCGGCGGCCUACUCUGGCAGCGCAGUCUCGCACGUCGCGGCCGAUUCCACCGCCGGCGAGAUCCUCGAGAAAGGGCUGGGCCGCGCGGCGUGGUUGCUGAACAGGGCCGUGGCGUCGUUCGACGGGGCGCGCGAGAGGGGGAAGCUCGCGGCCUGGGCCCGGGAGCCCAGCUUCGCGUUGCCGCCGGCGCUCGCGCGGGGCGCCGAAGCUCCUGCGCUGCUGUUGACGGGGAGCUCGCCGCGGUUCGACGUGUACGGCAACGACUUCGGGUGGGGCGCACCGGUGGCGGUGCGGAGCGGCGGGGGGAGCAAGCUGGCCGGGAAGGCGACGGUGUACGAGGGCGGGUGCGGCGCCGGGAGCAUGGCGCUGUAG
rnacentral:rRNA from 1 species